GCUAGUAAUCGCGGAUCAGCAUGCCGCGGUGAAUACGUUCCCGGGCCUUGUACACACCGCCCGUCACACCAUGGGAGCCGGUAAUACCCGAAGUCAGUAGUCCAACCUCGUGAGGACGCUGCCGAAGGUAGGAUUGGCGACUGGGGUGAAGUCGUAACAAGGUAAC
rnacentral:rRNA from 1 species